AAUAUUCAGAAAAUCGUCCAAAUCGACAAUCCAAACUUGACAAAUUUUAAUAUAUUAUCUCAAUCCUUGACAUAAAAUAAAAAAAAUUGGCUACUUAAUUUUUGCCAGAAUUGUAUCUAUUUUUAGUAACAGCCUCAUUUGCAUAAUUAUGUAAAUUCAUUCGAAAACCAAGGAAAAAUCCAACUUUAAAUGCCUUUUAAGAACGACCCAGAAGCAUAUUAAAUGGGGGAGUUGAGUUUUUAGAGUAAUGUCAGCUGGAACCCAUUCAUUUUACCAUGUUCUGGUCAAUACAAAUAAAAAUUUAAACUAUUUGGCACAUUGCCAGGAGCACGGACGCAAAGGCCGGAUUUUUCAUCCAUGAAUUUACAUGACUUUUACUUGCUUCUAACUUGCAAGACCUAUUCCGUAUAUGUUUGCAACUUAUAUUAGUUUUAAUUAUGGUGUAUUUUUUAUUAUAGAUUAAAAUAUUAAGCUUGGCAAAUGACUAAUACAUGUUAAAUUUUGCCUUGGAAGAAUGGUGGUUUUAGUCCCGAAUUGGCACAUUUUGAUUUUGAUUUUAAUUUAAUUAUAAAUACAAUUGUAAUAAAAUAGCUAAUAAAAUCAUUUAAAAAAGUAAAAUAGAUAUGUCUUAAAAUUUAAAUGAGACAUUUUUGUACUGCAAGUGCAAAAAUCAAUAAAUUGGCUGAAACCAGGGAGUACAUCUUUUAUGCUCUUCCAUUGACUUAUCUCCCUUGGGCAACAUGUCAGCUCCCAGUGAUGGACUUGGCAGACAAAGUUUACAGCGAAGUUUGCAACUUUAAUAAUCUAGGAGGAGUAUUUGGGCUAUCCCAGCAUUAUGCAUCUACAUAUUACAAACUAUUUAAAAUAUCUGAAUGCACUAAAGACCAAAUUAUCAUUUCCCAAAAGAAUAAUUAGUUAUUACUGCCAAUGCAAGAAUCUGCCAAUCAUGACAAUAAAUUACCAGACAAUAAUCAUAACUUAGUGAAUAAUCAUGAUGAAAACUAUGGUGUAGAAUUUCCAACAGGAUUCCUUGUUUUAUAUAUGACGAGGAGUGGUUUAUUUUCUUAUGGUUGUUAUAUCAUCUCGUCUUCGACAUGUUAGAAUAUGCUUGAAGUAACGGGACUUUUAUGGAAUUCAUUGACAUCAUAGUCAAGCAAGAUGUCAACAUCCCGUCCAACCAUCUUCCAGUAAAGCCAAUUUGAAAGCUGACUUAGGAUCUUCAUCAUUUUGUGACAGGGUGUAUACAGGACGAGUCAUUCCACUAGGAUCAGAACUAUUAUCAUGAUAAUAGAUGCAGGCAAUGCUGAUGAUUUUUGUGAAUGUGACAAUAGCCAGGUCAAACUAAAUACAUGUAAAGAACAAGAUACUUAUCUAGACUCCCAGCUAACUGAACUUUUAAAGCAGUCAACAUCAGAUUGGAAGACUGAUAAUGCUUCUGAAAGAAACAAUUUCAACCAACCAAACAAGUAACCGAAACUUUGCAUCUUUAAAACACUACUUACCUCUUCCAUGGGAUGAUGUUCUUAAAAAUAACAGUUCAUCAUUAAUGAAGAUUUUUAUGUUAUGGAUUUUCUUUUACAAGAAAGUUAAUGUACACUUGUUUUUAUAGUAAAACCUUGCUGUUCAAGUAUCAAAAAAACAUUUAACUUUA